GCCGGGCAUGGUGGUGGGUGCCUGUAAUCCCAGCUACUUGGGAGGCUGAAGCAGGAGAAUCGCUUGAACCCGGGAGGCAGAGGUUGCAGUGAGCCAAGAUAGCACCACUGCACUCCAGCCUGGGUGACAAAGCGAGACUCUGUCUCAA
ensembl:misc_RNA Metazoa_SRP Metazoan signal recognition particle RNA